AAGAGUUUGAUCCUGGCUCAGAUUGAACGCUGGCGCUAUGCCUUACACAUGCAAGUCGAACGGCAGCACGGGUGCUUGCACCUGGUGGCGAGUGGCGAACGGGUGAGUAAUACAUCGGAACAUGUCCUGUAGUGGGGGAUAGCCCGGCGAAAGCCGGAUUAAUACCGCAUACGAUCUACGGAUGAAAGCGGGGGACCUUCGGGCCUCGCGCUAUAGGGUUGGCCGAUGGCUGAUUAGCUAGUUGGUGGGGUAAAGGCCUACCAAGGCGACGAUCAGUAGCUGGUCUGAGAGGACGACCAGCCACACUGGGACUGAGACACGGCCCAGACUCCUACGGGAGGCAGCAGUGGGGAAUUUUGGACAAUGGGCGAAAGCCUGAUCCAGCAAUGCCGCGUGUGUGAAGAAGGCCUUCGGGUUGUAAAGCACUUUUGUCCGGAAAGAAAUCCUUGGCUCUAAUACAGUCGGGGGAUGACGGUACCGGAAGAAUAAGCACCGGCUAACUACGUGCCAGCAGCCGCGGUAAUACGUAGGGUGCGAGCGUUAAUCGGAAUUACUGGGCGUAAAGCGUGCGCAGGCGGUUUGCUAAGACCGAUGUGAAAUCCCCGGGCUCAACCUGGGAACUGCAUUGGUGACUGGCAGGCUAGAGUAUGGCAGAGGGGGGUAGAAUUCCACGUGUAGCAGUGAAAUGCGUAGAGAUGUGGAGGAAUACCGAUGGCGAAAGGCAGCCCCCUGGGCCAAUACUGACGCUCAUGCACGAAAGCGUGGGGGAGCAAACAGGAUUAGAUACCCUGGUAGUCCACGCCCCUAACGAUGUCAACUAGUUGUUGGGGAUUCAUUUCCUUAGUAACGUAGCUAACGCGUGAAGUUGACCGCUGGGGAGUACGGUCGCAAGAUUAAAACUCAAAGGAAUUGACGGGGACCCGCACAAGCGGUGGAUGAUGUGGAUUAAUUCGAUGCAACGCGAAAAACCUUACCUACCCUUGACAUGGUCGGAAUCCUGCUGAGAGGCGGGAGUGCUCGAAAGAGAACCGGCGCACAGGUGCUGCAUGGCUGUCGUCAGCUCGUGCCGUGAGAUGUUGGGUUAAGUCCCGCAACGAGCGCAACCCUUGUCCUUAGUUGCUACGCAAGAGCACUCUAAGGAGACUGCCGGUGACAAACCGGAGGAAGGUGGGGAUGACGUCAAGUCCUCAUGGCCCUUAUGGGUAGGGCUUCACACGUCAUACAAUGGUCGGAACAGAGGGUUGCCAACCCGCGAUGGGGAGCUAAUCCCAGAAAACCGAUCGUAGUCCGGAUUGCACUCUGCAACUCGAGUGCAUGAAGCUGGAAUCGCUAGUAAUCGCGGAUCAGCAUGCCGCGGUGAAUACGUUCCCGGGUCUUGUACACACCGCCCGUCACACCAUGGGAGUGGGUUUUACCAGAAGUUGCUAGUCUAACCGCAAGGAGGACGGUCACCACGGUAGGAUUCAUGACUGGGGUGAAGUCAUGACAAGGUA
rnacentral:rRNA from 1 species